rnacentral:rRNA from 1 species
CCUACGGGGGGCAGCAGUGAGGAAUAUUGGUCAAUGGCCGCAGGGCUGAACCAGCCAAGUCGCGUGAGGGAUGACGGUCCUAUGGAUUGUAAACCUCUUUUGUCAGGGAGCAAAGGGCGCCACGUGUGGCGCUUUGCGAGUACCUGAAGAAAAAGCAUCGGCUAACUCCGUGCCAGCAGCCGCGGUAAUACGGAGGAUGCGAGCGUUAUCCGGAUUUAUUGGGUUUAAAGGGUGCGCAGGCGGAAUGUCAAGUCAGCGGUAAAAUUUCGGGGCUCAACCCCGUCGUGCCGUUGAAACUGGCGUUCUUGAGUGAGCGAGAAGUAUGCGGAAUGCGUGGUGUAGCGGUGAAAUGCAUAGAUAUCACGCAGAACUCCGAUUGCGAAGGCAGCAUACCGGCGCUCAACUGACGCUCAUGCACGAAAGCGUGGGUAUCGAACAGGAUUAGAUACACCAGUAGUC